rnacentral:misc_RNA from 1 species
ACAAACUUGGUCAUUUAGAGGAAGUAAAAGUCGUAACAAGGUUUCCGUAGGUGAACCUGCGGAAGGAUCAUUACAGAGUUCAAGGCAGUCAGGGGAAACCCGAGCUGCCUGCACACUCCCACCCUUUGUUUACCUUACCUUUGUUGCUUUGGCAGGCCCGUCUCUUGGGACCGUCGGCUUCGGCUGGCCAGUGCCUGCCAGAGGAUCUCAAACUCUUAUUAAUGGAUUGUCUGACUACUAUUUAUAAUAGUUAAAACUUUCAACAACGGAUCUCUUGGUUCUGGCAUCGAUGAAGAACGCAGC